CCCUUAGAUGUUCUGGGCCGCACACGCGCUACACUGAAGGAGGCAGCGUGUACUCCUGGAUCGAAAGAUUUGGGUAACCCGCGAAUCUCCUUCGUGCUAGGGAUUGAGGUUUGCAAUUAUCCUUCAUGAACGAGGAAUUCCCAGUAAGUGCAAGUCAUAAGCUUGCGCUGACUACGUCCCUGCCCUUUGUACACACCGCCCGUCGCUACUACCGAUUGAAUGAUUUAGUGAGGACUUCGGACUGGGACCGAUGCGGCUUUCGGGCUGCGUCGGUAUUCUGGAAAGAUGUCCAAACUGUAUCAUUUAGAGGAAGUAAAAUUCGUAACA
rnacentral:rRNA from 1 species